UACGGAGGGUGCAAGCGUUGUUCGGAAUCACUGGGCUUAAAGCGCGUGUAGGCGGGACGCCAAGUGUCGUGUGAAAGCCCCGAGCUCAACUCGGGAAUCGCGCGGCAAACUGGCGUUCUUGAGGCAAGUAGAGGUGACUGGAACGACCGGUGGAGCGGUGAAAUGCGUAGAUAUCGGUUGGAACGCCGGAGGCGAAAGCGGGUCACUGGGCUUGUCCUGACGCUAAGACGCGAAAGCGUGGGGAGCAAAC
rnacentral:rRNA from 1 species